rnacentral:rRNA from 1 species
UACAGAGGUGCCAAGCGUUAGGCGGAAUUACUGGGCGUAAAGCGCACGUAGGCGGCUUUCUAAGUCGGGGGUGAAAUCCUGGAGCUCAACUCCAGAACUGCCUUCGAUACUGGAAAGCUCGAGUCCGGGAGAGGUGAGUGGAACUGCGAGUGUAGAGGUGAAAUUCGUAGAUAUUCGCAAGAACACCAGUGGCGAAGGCGGCUCACUGGCCCGGUACUGACGCUGAGGUGCGAAAGCGUGGGGAGCAAACAGG